CAGGGUAUAGCUAAGAUACUACAGCGGCUCCCUUACACCGAGCAGUCAUCCGUGAAAAUCGGAUUAUCCUGA
rnacentral:tRNA from 1 species